GAUGAACGCUAGCUACAGGCUUACACAUGCAAGUCGAGGGGCAGCAUGGUCUUAGCUUGCUAAGGCUGAUGGCGACCGGCGCACGGGUGAGUAACACGUAUCCAACCUGCCGUCUACUCUUGGCCAGCCUUCUGAAAGGAAGAUUAAUCCAGGAUGGGAUCAUGAGUUCACAUGUCCGCAUGAUUAAAGGUAUUUUCCGGUAGACGAUGGGGAUGCGUUCCAUUAGAUAGUAGGCGGGGUAACGGCCCACUUAGUCAACGAUGGAUAGGGGUUCUGAGAGGAAGGUCCCCCACAUUGGAACUGAGACACGGUCCAAACUCCUACGGGAGGCAGCAGUGAGGAAUAUUGGUCAAUGGGCGAUGGCCUGAACCAGCCAAGUAGCGUGAAGGAUGACUGCCCUAUGGGUUGUAAACUUCUUUUAUAAAGGAAUAAAGUCGGGUAUGCAUACCCGUUUGCAUGUACUUUAUGAAUAAGGAUCGGCUAACUCCGUGCCAGCAGCCGCGGUAAUACGGAGGAUCCGAGCGUUAUCCGGAUUUAUUGGGUUUAAAGGGAGCGUAGAUGGAUGUUUAAGUCAGUUGUGAAAGUUUGCGGCUCAACCGUAAAAUUGCAGUUGAUACUGGAUGUCUUGAGUGCAGUUGAGGCAGGCGGAAUUCGUGGUGUAGCGGUGAAAUGCUUAGAUAUCACGAAGAACUCCGAUUGCGAAGGCAGCCUGCUAAGCUGCAACUGACAUUGAGG
rnacentral:rRNA from 1 species